rnacentral:misc_RNA from 1 species
CCCUUGUGGAGGAGGACGCCGAAGGUGGGGCUAAUGACUGGGGUGAAGUCGUAACAAGGUAGCCGUACCGGAAGGUGCGGCUGGAUCACCUCCUAACAGGGAGACAACAAAAUGUAAAUAUUAAUUUUGUCACCUUAGGUCGAUCGGUAUCUCAGAUUCUUAUUUUUUAAGAAUUUCAGUUUCUAAGUUUUUUCUAGGUCACACCCAUCACUUUUUCCUGGGCCAUUAGCUCAGGUGGUUAGAGCGCACCCCUGAUAAGGGUGAGGUCCCUGGUUCAAGUCCAGGAUGGCCCAUAUCUCUAUGUUGGGGGUAUAGCUCAGUUGGUAGAGCGCCUGCUUUGCAAGCAGGAUGUCAGCGGUUCGAGUCCGCUUACCUCCACUGAAUACCACCUCUUACAUAUUUUUAAAGAGGGAAAUUGUUAUGAGUUGUGUCCUAAUUUGCUCUGAGCGAAUCUAGCUUCCUAUUUUUAUUCAAUAAAUAAGAUGCUGGACUCAUUGAAUUUUUUUUCAUUGUUUUCAGAGAACCUUGACAACUGCAUAGAUUAUUUUGAAGACAAUAAGCAUCUUUAAUGAUGCAGAUUUAUUAUUUGUGCGAAUGCAUUAAAUAACAAUUCUAUUAAGCUGAUGCUUCAAUUAUUGAAGUUAUUGGUCAAGCUACAAAGGGCUCACGGAGGAUACCUAGGCACACAGAG